UGGGGAGAUGAGCCCGGUGCCUUCUCAGUGGGAUUCAAGAAGUGCUGUACAAGAACAAAGAUUACUGGCUUCUAACAGAGGAUUUGAGAAUUCCCUGCGACGCUUGAAUCCCUCCUUCAUUUUCGACAGUGCCAUUAGUCCUUCUUCCAGCCUCACACAAGAUUUGAUCUAUUUAAAACGACGCAAGGGUGAGACCUCACACACAUUCCCCUAGAUGUCCUACAUGAUUCCCCCGGACCAGCGGUCCAUGCUGAUGCCCUGAGUGCGUUCAUGAGACGAGUGACCUAGUUCCAGUACUGUCUGCGAUACUUGAAUGAGAAACUAAAGCUUGGGGGUAGAUCUUCAGCAGGAGUAACUCACCCUGCUCACUGUACAACACAUCGUGGGCACAAAGCGUCUUCCAGGGAAUACGCAGCACUCAGAAAGGUUCAUUCUUCAGCCUGAACAAAGUGAGGAAGAAAGAUGCCUUGCAACAUCAGCAAACAGGGCACAUUUCCCUCUACAGGAUGGGAGCUGGUCAACUCCAUAUUCCUCAGAAGUUUGAGAUCAGGUUCUUCACGUGCCUAAUUUGGACUUAAUUCAAGGCUGGGAUAAAUCAUUACAACUCAGAUGAAGUCAGUAAGAGCACAGUGACUUACAUCAGCUCUGUGUCAGUAAAUACUGACAAAAUUGAUCUCAAACUUUUUCAGAACAAAAGAUUUUUGAAGAUGGAUUAAACAACAUAAAUGCUGAGCUGUUUUGCUAGACUGCAAAUGGCAUAACACAUGCUUUGUGUGACAUCUCUGAAUUAUUCCUUCGUGGCAAUGUUGACAUUAUAUGGUAUUGACUCAUGGAAGAAGCUUAAAUACCCUUUUAAGUUUUCAAGACUCUUUGACAAAGCACUAUUUCAUUAACAAAAUGUUAAUGGAAUCUGUGAAGCCUGAAUAUACAGCAUAGCCUGCUGGUUUCAAGAAGCUGUAUUCACUGACCUAGAGGAGUGACUGCCAUAGAGCACUACAACCUCUAUUUUUAGAAUGCACCUUGUGCAGGACACCCAUGGGCUGAGUAAGGAGAACGUGAGCUUCCGUUACUUCCCCCAUCAAACAGGAUUAUCACACCUUCUGCUGGAGAAGGUCAAAACAGCACUGACAUGGGAAAUGGAUAAUAUAAGGUAAAGCAGGAGGGACAGCAGGGUUGGCAUUGACUUGAAGCUAAGGCUUCUUGCUUGGGACAAGGAGGAAGACCUAGAGAGCACCACUUUGCAUAAUGCAUACUCUGAAGUCAUCUUUGGGAAAGGAGCAGUGAUGUGCCUACAGCUAAAGCUGUUGGCCCUUAGUACUCUGCUGACCCUCAAAUAACUACAGGUUUUUCUAUCUGACAUGCCUAUUGCUCAAAACAGAUCCCAGUUUCCACAUUCUUGAUCCAAUCCAAAGCAGGAACCCAAGAGUGAGACCAGGGCAGACCAAGGCAACACCCAAAUGCUGCACUGCUGCAUGUUUGAAGGAGGUUGGCCCCUCCCUGGUUUUCUACAAGAGGGCAAUAAAUGCAACAAAACUCAACCCUGGAAAAACAGCAGCUUUUUUCAGACAUGUUUUCCAAUGGAGGAACAGAUUUUUUAUCAUCAGCCACCCACAACUUUUUUUUUUUUUUGAAUCAAUAAACUUGUAACUGUUUAUAAUACAUGCUGCUGGUGACUGUGACAUGCUCACAAUGCAUAUUCAACUUUUAACUCUGUGAAUUUAUCACUUGUAAGUUCUUUGCAUGAACAGCGACAGAGCUUUUCAAUGGCAAAAUUCACCCACACGCUGAAAAGUCAACUUCCUAAAGCCAAUCAUGUCUGCUGUUUUCUGUGUCUGUUACUACUUUACAUAACGUGUUGUUAUGAACAGAUGAGACCAGAAUGGAGGGACAUGGAAAUACUAAACGUCCGUCCGCUCACUGUCUUCUGCAUUGGGUGGCAUUUGGUGUGCCAUCAGAAUCUACAUUUCCUCCUGAACAGUCCAUUUUUCACAUGGAUUUGCGUAAGGUAACCAGGGGAAGAAAAUCACAAGUUAGAAAUUUAAUGAGAAAAACAGCACAUAAACACAAAAAUUGACUGAGGUACCCAAGGGCCACCUUGCAGCCUCAAACUGUGCUUGCACACGAGUCGUCUUUCCAAAUGCCUUGCUCACAAGCACAGAGCAGAGGAAGGCUGCACCACCUGGAGCAUGCUCAGCUGCAUUGCACUGACCCAAGGGAGCACUGCCAGUCCCUGCAAACAGGAUUAGUUCAAGCACAAGGCAAUUCCAACUUUCAGUUCACCACCACUAAAUAGAGGAUAAACUUGCCUGCAGCACAGCAACACAGACAAAGCAGCACUGUAGACUGUCCUGCAAACGUGGCCGUUAGAGGACAAUCAGCUGGGAGACAUUCCUCAAGAUUUCAGUGCAAUUGUGUUAGAAAUAAAAGACAGAAGCUCUUCAAAAAUAAGCAAAUAAAGUCCUGAAUGGUUGCUACAGUAAUGAUGGGCAUGCCAGAAUCAGCCCAGUUUAAUCUCAGCACAAAAUGAAUGCGGCACAUGAGCAGAGAAUCCAGGUGAGCUUUCAGGGCUUGGUAUUCCUACACGUAUGGAAAUACAAUAACCUAAUAAAAGCAAAAGGAAGAUCACACAGACCAUCUCUCAAAGGUUUCGUGGAGAAUAUUGUAACUUUUGGUAUAUAACAGAGUAAAGGACAUACAGAAGAAUCAAAAUUCAAGGGAAUUGCAGAAAGAAGGAUUUUUCCAUCUUGACAGCAAAGUAUUGCGCUCUGUCAAGAACAAAGUUCAGUGUGAUCUCGCUGGGGCCACAAAUGUUCCAGAUGAAUUAACAGAAGUCCAUUGAUCUGCAGGACCAAGCAGGAUGUAUACUGGCUGAAGAUCUGCCCCAUGAGGCUUGUAUCCCACUGCCAAGAAGCCAUCUCCCACCCUACAGAUAGCAUUGGUCAAAACCCGCUGUGAAUAACCACUUUAUAAUGCAAGACACUUACUAUGCAGUGGGUCACUGGUAGCAGAGUUGAAAAAGGGACAUUCAGAUCUGCAAUCACAAGCCUCUAUAGUCAGCACUAAAAAAAUUAGUGCUGUCUCAAAGGCUCUUGUAGACCCAGGAGGAUUAACACCAGUAUUCAAAGAACAGAAUGCUGCGGUAGGUUAGCAAGGGUUAAGGAAAACCAAAGACCUUGAUAUCUUGCAAAUCUACAUGCAUACUGCACAAAAGUUUUCCCCCUCUCAUACUCAAGAUUGCAUUUGUCACACUUUUAGAAAAACCUUUAAUGGAAAUCUCAGAUAUGCUCUGAUAAAGCCAUAAAUAGAAACAACAAGCUCAGGGAAAACAUGCAUCCCAUACUGACCAUCAUUUUCCAUUUUCCUGCUUUUGAGCAAGACUGCAACAGUGCAAAGACCCAAGGACAACUGGAAGACAGAAGCUCACCAGAACAGGCAUCUCUCCUUUAGAUCUCCACUUCCCUACAGUUACAUAGGUUUCUAGUGCUCUAACAACUCAGUAUAGUUACAGCCACAUUUUAACUCAGCUGCCAUGCUCACACCACCACCAGGCACACCUCCCACCAGCUGCUCUUCAAUGAGGGCACUUAUUACUCCAGGAGAAAAUCACCUGUGUAGUAUCAGACUGCUGUUUUUCUUGAGGUAAGAGGUUAUUCACAGACCUGCAAUAAAAUUACAGGAACCAGCUUUCUUCUUUUUAGUCUCUGGAUAGGUCUUUUAGUCAAAAAAAAUUAAAGAACCAAGAAAAGUUGAAUAAAAGGUGAUAAAGCCAACACAGAGACCUUCCAACUGUAAAUACUUGUCACUCUCGGCAUAAUAUGCAACCUUCUAUACACAGUUACAUUUCAGGCAUGUUUAAGUAUCCUUGAGAAAUGACUUUAUGCUGUUAUUAUUCCUCAAGAGCUUCAGAUGAGCUUGGAUCCAUCUCUAUUCAUCAUGUCAGCCACUCUACAGAUAGCUACACACACUUUGCCUGCUCAGUUUUAUUAAACAGCUAACCCUAAGUUUUAUUAAUUCUCGCUGAUCUGCAUAAAUUACAAAGCUCUGUGCUUAUUUAUGUAUCAUAUGCUGACUUCGAUCCAUAUUAAAAUCAAGCAGUGCAUUAGGCCUAAUGGAGCUGGUUCUUCCAUAAGAAGGGCACUCCAAGUCUUGCAUUGCUGUUUGUAACUUGUAUUUCCCCAUUGUUUCUAUGUGCUAGAACUAGUGCUUAACUUCAAGAAGACAUAUCUUUUUGUUGUUGAUAACCGCCUUCCCAAGGACAAAACAAUUGAUUUAUAUGGUAGGUCUUUUACUUUUUGCAUGUUGACUCAUCUGGGUUCACUUCAAACCUUUUAUUCCUCAACAGUUUUACAUCUGUGGGGUUAGUAAACUUCUCUUAAUCAGGGAUAGAGAAAUAUUCUGAAAAUCUGGACUUCAAGCCUGAUCUGUAGGAUUUUAGGUUAGUUGGACUUGAUGAUCGUUAAGAUCUUUUCCAACCUGAGCAAUUCUAUGAUUCUAUGAUUAUAGGUUGAAUAGAGGACGGAUGGAGCUGUGGGACAUUUGAUAUCAGCAGAAGACUUUCAUGCAGCAGUCAGCAGACACACCCCAGCACACAUGCAUGCAUGCAGCAGACCUAGCAUGAGAAUCCCAAAAAUAAUUGCAGCUGUAUUCCUCUUCUCAACCUGAGAAAAGUGACCUUAACAAGGCUAUCGUGGAGCUCUCCUGAGGGUGCUUUACACAGUGGAAGGGAACAUGGCUGUGGACUUGUGUGCCUGGAAGCACAAGGGAGAUGUGCAGGAGCCAGCCAUGAUCACUGUAGUGAUGGUGCCCAGUGUAGUAAGAUAUCCAAACUCUUUAAUAAGGCUUUCAGUAGCACAUUCCUUUGAAGUCCUUCAGAGCAUGACAGCAAUUAACUGAAGACUCAUCUUCCCUCAUGUUGUUUUAUCCACUCUCACUCGAGAUCAACACUUCCUCUGAUGGUAGUGCAAAUUCACACCCCCCAGCUACAAGGAGCUUGCAAAACGACCCGGUUACAAUUACAGACACAAUGAGCAGUACCUUCGGUGUUUCUGGGCUCAUUCUGAUUGUUUCUCAUGGCCUCCAUUUUGCAGAUGUAAGACAGUAGGGCAAUCCACCACUGAGUGCAUCCAGCUAAAAAAACUAGCUGCAAUAGGAUUUUCUCCACCUUGAGAGAAAUAAGGAGACAGCGAGCAGCAGAUAGGCAACAGGGAAGCAUUAAUCCAAAAGUGCUCUUGGAAGAAAGUUUUUCAAGGUUUUCUGUUUACUUGUUCCUGUUGUGGUUUUUUUUUUGUCGUUUGUUUUGGGUUUUUUGGUUGUUUUUUGUUUGUUUGUUUUGGGUAUUGUUUUGAAAGUGAGCAAGGAUGAGGAUAAAAGAGAACUAAUUCCUCACUAAAGGGCCUCCUACAGCCCAAGCAUGGCGGCCUGCUGGCUGCGGCACAGCGCCGUAACCUCUGCACGCAGCCACUUGAACAGGGUUCAAGGCAAUGACUUCACAUGGAGGCAGAGUGCGAAUGGCUUUAAACCACCGCAGCAGUGAUAUAAAAUUGCGGCGUGGCAGCAGGGGGGGCCCUGCAGCCUCACAGCGGGGAGAAGGGGUCUGGGAACAGCCCUCCACAGGGGCAGGCAGAUGUCAGAGGGAAAACAAAAGAGGAUCCGAAGCCUUCUCCUCUGAGCAUCACCUGCAUCCACACAUCGCUCUGUCGGCCACCUCCAGAGCCCUGAGGGCGCAGCAGUUCACCCCUCAGAAGUGAAAAGGAAGGGAUAAAGAGCAGCAACCCGGAAUUUCUGUUCUGUGAGAAAUUCCUGUAUUCCGACAGUCUCUUUGUGCAGGAGGGAAAUGGGAUCUUAAAGGGUUCUUGUAAAACUGAAGUGGUGAGGACACGUUAUCAAAAUGUUCCAUUUUAAUGACGCGCUGUGUUGUAGUCUGAGGGCAUUAAAACAAUCCAAACGUAACAAAACAUAAAGCAAAGCAUGUAACAAACAUGAGAACCACGCCACAAACGCAAAGUAGGAGCCUGAGCAAAUUAAAACAUAUCAGCAUCCUCAAAACCAAACAGUUCAGCAUUACACCAGCAAGGAUGAAAGUCAAAUGAGUCGCUGGAACGCGCUGUGUCUCAAAGCGGAGCAACCAACAGUAUUCCUACGGAAAACUCCAUUUCCAUUCACACUGCACUGAGCUGUUUGAACAUGUUGUGACUGCCAGCACUCAGGAUAUUGCUGCCACCACGACCUCCCCUGCCAAGGUGAUGCAGCGAGCAGCACAGCGCUACUCCUCCUGACGGAAGGAAACCCUAAGAUCUAUAUUUUCUAUAAAAUUGCCUUAUUUCUCAGCCAAGAUACUAUAAGCAGAGGUAAAGCGAAGCUAUUGCUACUGAGACCUCCUUACUGUAAGAAAACAUACCGCAGUGCAUUUACUGAUAUGCUAUGAAAUCACAUAAAUCAUUCUGACAACAUGAUACUUGUCAAAAUAAAGGCAUAAAAUAUGGUUUGAAAUAAAAUAUCCUCAGUCCUGUUUAUUCAUUUGCUUACUCAUGCUGUUUGGCUUUUCUCAAUGGGUUCCCCAAUCGUUGGGGUGAAUUAGUGAGGUUCUGCUGGAAAUACCAAACCACGUGCAUAUUCACAGUCUUAUACACGCUGAAUAUCUGCAUAUAGCUCUGUACAGUCAUUCAACUGAACUGAAAAUAAAGCAUUCAAAGGACACUUUUCCUGUAAUAUUUUUUUCUCUUCCAGUAUUUUUCCCCUCCCCCCUCAAUAUUUCACUAGUGCUUAACGGUGGCAUGGUUUAAGGGAGUCCUGCAUGGAAAGCUCCUUCAGCUGCUUAGCCCAACAGCAUAAAUUUGAUCUCGUAAUUAGUAUUCAGCUCAGCAUCUUGGAUAGAAACCAAUGUUACAGCCAAGAGGUGGUUUAAAUCACAUAAAUCAUAGAUCAAUGACAGAACUCUAAGCACUGGAUAGAUUACAAAAGUAAGCUUUAGUUAAAAAUAGAUUAACCAUUUCCCUGCAGGAAUUCCUUCAAAAAAGCCCUGAAUAUAAAACAAAUAAAAUUUAAUCUGAUAAUUUUUUUCUAAUGUAUGCAUAUACUAGAUGAAUUGUUCUUUCCCUUGACAGUUACACACUGAUUAAAGAAAUGUGUUAACAUGCUAUUUCAAUGGAAAAUAUUGUAAGUUGUGGAGACUUUAAUUUUUUUAAUGAGGUUUUAAUAGCCAGAAAGAACAUACCAGAAAUGUUGUGCACAGCUAGGUUGGUAGCAAACGUCACAGCAGCUAGCAGAUACUUCUUCAGUUGCUGUUUUUAUAGAAAGGGGUAAAAAUCCUUCUUACGCCAAGAAAAAUGUUUUUGAGAAGUGUUUUUAAAGUGUUUUAUGUUUUUAAUUUUAGCUAAUGAAGUGUCCAGUUCUGAGAAGUAUCACAAGCUGUCUGCUGCCAAUGUAAGCACCCAUUGGGGUACUCGGCGUCCUGAAGGGUUGCACCCAAGGUCCCCAAAUUGUUACCAGUUCAGCGGGACAGAAGAUGAGGGGUUGAAACUCUUUCCUUUGACUGAGGAUGGAAGGAGGUGCUGAUGCUGGAAUCAAAUUCUCACCUGAUGUAUACCGGCAUUACAACAAAUAGGAGUGCACAGAUUAAAAGCAUUUUCUAGCUCCUAUGUAUUUUAGCAUGUUUUCAUAUUGAGAGGUCAGACAUCACGCCAUUGUUCAAAAGAAAAAGAAAAACAAAAAACUUUUAACCCUAUCAAGGAGAAUUUGCAUGUCUAUUUUGUUAGUUGCAGAACUGAACAGUAUUAAGAGCACCUCAGCCACUCCUCAGGAAGGAGAACUGCACAAUUCUGAGCCACUGCAGCUGGAAUAAUGUACUUGAAUUCCUCCCAUUGACUGGCAGGCACACAGAAGGCAGAGAGCCCUUUAAACACACACACACACACACACACACACACACGCUCACAAUUCGAGGCAGUUCAAGCAACAUCAAACAGAUGAAAGCAGCCUGAACAUCAGGCCUCCAAUCCUGCCACCUCACACGCUCUGCUUACACUAUUUAAAUGCAGCUUAACAUUAGUUAGAAAAUGAUCAAACAAGCUGAUUGAAACUCAAAAUUUCCUAGCCCUGGAUUAACAAAUUUUGAUCAGAUGGAGAACUGGAAAUACUGGAAUUCGCCCUGAUAAAAAGUUGCACAGUUUUUGAAUUGAUAGCUGCUAUAGCCAUAACAUGAUUAAUAAAAAUCUUCCUGAACAUUAAUACUUGCUUCUAACUUCCUACAAAACACAAAAACCUGAAUGUAAUUGUUAGUCAUAUCUAGAAUUCUUAAAAUAAAUAAUAGUGCUUUCAUAUGCCUUACAUUUGUUUUCGAAUACUCAGAUGCACCAAGAAGAGCGUUUUUAAACUUUUAGUGCUUUAUGGAAAUUACAGCUUUCAAUUUCCUAAGGCUUGUUUCACCGUAAGAAGAAAUAAAAAAGCAAGCUGCUUGAUGGCUAUUUGAGGAACAACGUUCAAAACUGGCACCCUGUGUGAUAGAAGACUGCAAUAUAUGCAAUCAAGAGAUAGAUUCAAACAAUAAUAACUAGCUCAGGCUCCAGGGCAUAGCAGAAUGUGUCAUUUACUACAGACCUGAGCCUUUAAACAUCAGUCCUGUGAACAGUCCGGUGGAAAAUAGAUGGCACUGCUCACAUAAGUACAGACUGCUCAUACAGGGAAGUUUUCAAAGGCUCUGCAUUUUCUAAGGGGCUGAAAAAUGCAUAUUGAGUUUAGUAAAACUACAGAAAAAAAGAUCUCUUGUAACAAGCCAAAUUGUCAGUGAGAUGUCAGGGUUAAU
ensembl:lncRNA